UCUGUCUGUCAAAUAAAUAAAUAAAAUCUUGAAAAAAAAAUAAAAUUUACUUCUUUCCCUUACUGCACCACAGUAUCCCCAUAGCUACCCUGUAGCCUCUACCUGAACACUGAGAAAGACCCCACUACCCUCCUCUUCCUUCUUCAUUUUUUGUUCUGUAGGUUAGGUGACCUCUACUUGCAUUGGUCCUGCUGAACACACCCCCAUCGUCACUCAGCAAGCUUGUGGUAGAGUCGACAAGCAGCAGGAACUGAACAGGACUCUGUCAGUGUCUGUGGUUUCCCAUAGACCACACUCCACUGAAGGGAAGACUGUAGUGCGACAUCAAGGCUCAGAUAAUAAAGACCUGUGCCCUUCCAACAGACUGGAGGGCAGACCUGGAGCACUUUCUAAACAGACAAUUCUAUUUUAGCCUCAAAAGACCGUGUUCCUGUCCUGGUUUUUGAAGAAACUCUUCUUGCGGGCAGGACUCAGCACCCAGGAUUGCAACUGAGGAUUUGCCAAGCAUCUUAAGGUGGGAGUAAGUGAUAGGCUAGAGUGGCUUUGCAGAGCUUCCCAAGCCUACAUAUACAUGUAAGUCAUUUUGG